GCGAAAAAUUGCUCUGCAUUUAUGCGUGAGGUAUUUGUGUACACGUUUGUUUGAUUUCGUUUGAAAGUUAAAAACUUAUGGAAUGGAUGCCGGACUUGAGGCCACGCGCGUUGUCACGUAGACAGCGGGUUUGCCUGUGUUAAAAAGGCUUACAGACAAAGCGACGUUAAGACAAUGGACAAGUUGAGUUGGCAGCGUGGUGGUGGCGUAACUGGAAGUCGUUCAUAGGCAAACACUUCAAUGCGCUACCUAGCAUACGGAAAUAUUAGUACUUCCGAUUUAUGUCUGCCUACCCCGGCGUUGUCAUGCGAAGACAUGCAGCGACGGUGAAGAAACCUGUUUGUGUUUAUUGAAGAACCCAGGUUUCCUUUUCACGAACACCGACCGGCCAGUGCAGCUGCUCGCUCCUGGAUUAUCUGCAGCACGGCGCGACUACUUGCGUGAUAACGUGCGACCUCUAGUGUCAGCUCGGGGUCAGGAAGGCUUCGCGUGUUAGACAGAAUGUAACAUGUUUACUAUUCUAACUGUGCGUAGUGUUUAUGUUACCAGUUUUAGUUAAUGUAUUAUGCAUUCUGUACGUUUGUUUGUAUAACAAAAAAUAUAUAAACAUACCGAUUUCAUUUAAAUUAUCAAACAAACUACGGUAUUUAUGUUCGUGAAGAACAACAUAAAUAAAUAUUUACACAUUAUAUGACAUAACCAAACAGUAACACAUUUACGUCAUCGGUAUCAACAAAAACAUUGUUGAAAUUGUAAAUAAUGAUGACGGACAUUUCCAAAUAAAAUAUAUACGACGUGCGUUCGAAAAUAAAAUGAAAUAUGACGCGGCGUCAAAAUUACGACGUAAUGACGCUCACUUAAGCGUCACAUGGGUUAACGAAAAUGUAAAUUAGUUUAGGUUAUAGUCUGAAAAGUAUGACAUUGUAUACAUAUAUGGAACCGGAAAAGAACGUAGA